UACGAAGGGGGCUAGCGUUGCCCGGAAUCACUGGGCGUAAAGCGCACGUAGGCGGAUUGCUAAGUCAGGGGUGAAAUCCUGGAGCUCAACUCCAGAACUGCCUUUGAUACUGGCGAUCUCGAGUCCGGGAGAGGUGAGUGGAACUGCGAGUGUAGAGGUGAAAUUCGUAGAUAUUCGCAAGAACACCAGUGGCGAAGGCGGCUCACUGGCCCGGUACUGACGCUGAGGUGCGAAAGCGUGGGGAGCAAACAGG
rnacentral:rRNA from 1 species